rnacentral:lncRNA from 1 species
GUUUUGGAGUGCAGGCGUGAAUAGUCCUUUCUGUCCUGCUUUGAGUACUGCUGUUGGGUGCCUUGGGGGGACCUUAAGGGAGCUCGGAAGUUGAGACGUGGUGAGUGCGAGAUCACUGCCCACAAAGGGGAGGAGCAGGCGGAUGAACAGCCAGAGCUGCAAUGGUGGAUCCUCCUCCAGGGCUGCAUGGGACGACAGAUAGAUGAGGCUCUAGGACGGGCACAAAUGCUACCCGAAUGCAAACCACUCCGGAGAUCUGUAAAAGGACUGGCCCCGGACAGGAAGCACACUUUAAACUAGAGGCGGGAGUCAAAGCCCCGGUGAAGAUUCUGUGACGGUUCAUUGUAUAAUUUAUGAUGAUGAAGAUUGAGUUGCAUUUUGCGGAAAAGAGAUGUUGAGAUAUCUAAGGCAUUGAGAAAUCUGUCAUGCAGACAUGCACACAGGGAGAGGGAGUACCCAAACUGAUGAGAACUUACAGGAAUUGGACCAUCUAAGCCCUUAGAAAGUGAAGUCCACUGUGUCUCAAACAAAGAUCUUCAUCCACAUCUUGAAGUUUGAAGUUUGGCCAAGAAUAUACAGAGUAGAUUCUCUUUCUCAGGAUGGCAAGUGUUCAUGACAUCAAUACUACCCAAGGCUUCAGAGUCAUUGGAUUGCAGUGAUGUCAGGAUUAUGCUUUGUGUUGUCCAAAUCUAUGGGAUAUUUUAGGAUGCAGUAACUUAUGAUGAUGUGCGUGUGAACUUCACUGAGGAAGAGUGGGAUUUGCUGGAUCCUUCCCAGAAAAGUCUCUAUGAAGAGGUGAUGCUGGAGACCUACCAGAACAUCACUGCUAUAGGUAA